rnacentral:rRNA from 1 species
UACGUAGGGGGCAAGCGUUGUUCGGAAUUACUGGGCGUAAAGGGCGCGUAGGCGGCACGGCAAGUCGGGAGUGAAAGCCCGGGGCUCAACCCCGGAGGGUCUUCCGAAACUGCCGAGCUAGAGUGCGGAAGAGGCAACCGGAAUUCCCAGUGUAGCGGUGAAAUGCGUAGAUAUCGGGAGGAAUACCGAUGGCGAAGGCAGGUCUCUGGGCUGACACUGACGCUCAUGCACGAAAGCGUGGGGAGCAAACAGG